rnacentral:misc_RNA from 1 species
GCCAACAACUAUUAUAUGAGACUUAAGAGCAAGUCUACCAAUCAACUGCAUCUGCAUGCCCUCAUUGCCAAAUUUCUACUCUUCUUUUCAAUGCAACUUCUCAGAAAUAUAGCAUCUCUGUAGCCCAAUUUCAUCAUCAUUUUUAGUAUUCUUAUUCAAAAUCAGUGUUGGUGUGGCCUUGAUCGUAGCAGACUAGUAAGAAUCCAGUAAUUUUCCAUGACAAACUUGUUCUAUUAGUAGCUCCCAAUACUGAUACCACACAUCGAGGUCUUUAAUGGGUGUUUCUCUUUCACUGCUUUUAUCUGCUUGGAAUUAAAUCCUCUGGCUGAAGUUGUCUGGUUCCAUUGACACCAUUGAGAAGGUCACAGUGAGGUCCCUGAGCUUAGAAAAAAAAGGAGAUUCGCAAACCACAUAUAACAAGUCUGGUGGGUCACACAUAAUGAUGCUAGAGAGGUCAUUGAGCUUCAAGAACUGGGAUUCCAAUCAAGAAAAUG